rnacentral:lncRNA from 1 species
UCGCUCUUGUUGCCCAGGCUGGAGUGCAAUGGUGAGAUCUCUGCUCACUGCAACCUCCACCUCCCAGGUUCAAGGGAUUCUUGUGCCUCAGCCUCCUGAGUAGCUGAGAUUACAGGCACCCACCACCACGUCCGGCUAAGUUGUUGUUUUUUGUUUUUGUUCUUGUUUUUUUGAGAGAUGGAGUCUUGAUCUGUCACCCAGGCUGGAGUGGAGUGGCGGUAUCUCGGCUCACUGCAACCUCCACCUCCCGGGUUUGAGCGAUUCUCCUGCCUCAGCUUCCCAAGUAGCUGGGACCACAGACGUUUGCCACCACUCCCAGUUAAUUUUUGUAUUUUUUUAGUAGAGUUGGGGUUUCACUAUAUGUUGGCCAGCCUGGUCUCAAACUCCUGACCUCAGGUGAUCUGCCCACCUCGGCCUCCCAAAGUGUUGGGAUUAUAGGCGUGAGCCACCGUGCCUGGCCAAUUUUUUGUAUUUUUUUGUAGAGACGGGGUUUCACCAUGUUGGCCAGGCUGGUCUUGAAUUCCUGGCCUCAGGUUAUCCGCCUGCCUGAGCCUCCCAAAGUGCUGGAUUACAGGCAUGACCCACCAAACCCAGCCCAAAUAUAUUUGCAUAUAUAUAUAUUUUAAUAUCCCACGCCUACACUCUGGGAUAACUCAGCUCUUACAGGCAGUAAUCAUGGGUCAGACCUGCCAUUAUCCAGUUCAGCCCAUUUCAUUUGACAGACACCUGGUGAAUAGAGACAUGCAGGGACUCUUGUCCACAUUUGCCCAGUUGGCUGAUAGCACAGUGUACAAAGUCUGUCUGCAGCAGGUCAUAAUUUCACAGCUCUGCCACAUGCAUGUAUAUCACUGUACCAAGCGUGUUCACAUGGUAUGGUGCUGACACAUGUUGACGGAAUGUGGUACAGACCCUCUGUGUGAAGUGUGUUCACACAGUGCGGUGCUGACCCUCUGUAUGAAGCGUGUUCACACGGUGCGGUGCUGACUCUCUGUAUGAAGCGUGUUCACCUGGUGCAGGACAGACUCUCUGCAUGAAGCAUGUUCACACAGUGCGGUGCUGACCCGACCCUCUGUAUGAAGCAUGUUCACACGGUGCAGUGCUGACUCUCUGUAUGACACAUGUUCACACAGUGAGGUGCUGACCCUCUGUAUGAAGCAUGUUCACGUAGUGCAGUGCUGACUCUGUAUGAAGUGUGUUCACACAAUGAGGUGCUGACCUCAUGUAUGAAGCAUGUUCACACAAUGCGGUGCUGACCCUCUGUAUGAAGCGUGUUCACACGGUGCGGUGCUGACUCUCUGUAUGACACAUGUUCACACAAUGCGGUGCUGAUCUUCUGUAUGAAGCAUGUUCACACAGUGCAGUGCUGACUCUCUGUAUGAAGUGUGUUCACACGGUGCAUUGCUGACCUUCUGUAUGAAGUGUGUUCACACAGUGAGGUGCUGAUCUUCUGUAUGAAGCAUGUUCACACGGUGCAGUACUGACUCUCUGUAUGAAGUGUGUUCACACGGUGCGGUGCUGACUCUCUGUAUGAAGCGUGUUCACACAGUGCGGUGCUGACUCUCUGUAUGAAGCAUGUUCACACGGUGCGGUGCUGACUCUCUGUAUGAAGUGUGUUCACCUGGUGCAGUACAGGCUCUCUGCAUGAAGCAUGUUCACACAGUGCGGUGCUGACCCUCUGUAUGAAGCGUGUUCACACAGUGCAUGUGAAACCAGAACCGACAGUCGAACCCAAGCAGAAGUCUUGACCAAGCACUUCCCUCCUGGGAAUGCACCAUGAUAUCACCACACCGAAGUCCAGGCUGGCAAAUAGGGACAUUUAAGUGACAUUUAAGCUCGUGGUGGCCCUAUGAGGAGUCAUUGCUGACUGAGAUGGGAUUUUAAGGUGUUGCCUGCCUGUGUGUUCUCAGACCCUCUCCUGAAGCCCC